rnacentral:rRNA from 1 species
AUACGUAGGGGGCUAGCGUUAUCCGGAUUUACUGGGCGUAAAGGGUGCGUAGGUGGUCUCUUAAGUCAGGAGUGAAAGGCUACGGCUUAACCGUAGUAAGCUCUUGAAACUGGGAAACUUGAGUGCAGGAGAGGAAAGUGGAAUUCCUAGUGCAGCGGUGAAAUGCGUAGAUAUUAGGAGGAACACCAGUAGCGAAGGCGGCUUUCUGGACUGUAACUGACACUGAGGCACGAAAGCGUGGGGAGC